rnacentral:tRNA from 1 species
UGGCUCAGUUCGGUAGAGCAUGGUGUUUGCAACGCCAGCAUGGUGUGUGCAACGCCAGGGUUGUGGGUUCGAUUCCCAC